rnacentral:lncRNA from 1 species
UUUGACAUGAUGUGAUUUAUUUGUAAAUAACACGUCUUGUUGAAACGUUCCACCCCUAGAAUUCUCCCUCAACUUGUGUAAUCAUUGUUUGAGAAUAAAUAAAUAAUAAUAAAUAAUCAUUCAAUUCAGUGAAUCCACAUUCCUGUUAUUUGAAAUAUGAUUAAUAAACGAAUACAGUUUUGUCGAAUAUUAUUGAAAUGUGUGACGCUACAUGAGUUUCAAUUUGAGUUUAUAUUUGUAAGAAUGAUGUAUGAAUGAUGAUUAAAAAAUGAAAAUUUUAACGAAAAGCUUCAAAUAUUGUUUACUAUAACGAAAAACCAUUUUGACAAAAAAAAAAAACAACGAAAAACCAUAUUUUUACACUAAAAAGUCAAUCAUAGUACUAUUCACUUUACCCUUUAUUUUGUUCUUAUAGUUAAAACUCAAAAUUUUCAAAUCAUUUUCAUUAGUUUUCCUUUAAAUAAUUGAACGGUCAAAUCAUGAGUUCAUUUUGUAGAAUGAAUCCAAAUGAGUGGUUAACAGUGUAUUAACUUACUAAUCGAUUAGUCCUAGAGCGCUCCUGGUUUUAGCAUCGGUUGUAAAGAUUGAAUUAAAUGGAGGGUGAGGAUCUAAUUCAUGUACGAGGAAUAUUAAUAAUUGACAAAGAUGGAUGAUUGGAUAAUUGCUAGGAAACUUGUGCUGCUCAAACAAUUCCUUCCAGAUCCUCUUACAUGCGGCAACGUGCUGUUUCAUCACCCACUCAACUAUUCAAUAUAUUUUUUCGUACAAGCAAUAUUUUACACGAGUCAAUAUUAUAUAGAGGGGAGAGAAUUUGAACUCAGAAGGUCGAAGAGAAAACUCCUAACCACAAGGUAUAUAAAAAACAAAAAUAAAAAACCUUUUACUUUGUUGCAACGAUAUUUCACAAGGUGGAUAAUUUGGCCAAGCCAUAGUAACUUGGUAUCGAACUUACUAUUCACAUGAGUUAGAACCUAAUAGCCUCUCACUUAUUAACAGUGAGGAUUACAACACCAUUCAGUUUUUCCGCGUAGUUUACAAAGGAAGAAAAAAAAAAGGAAUAGGCUUUUUAGUUAAAAUGAUUUCUAAGAUUUGCAUGAUACAUAACUUUGGUUCCUGCGGUUUAAAAUCAAUAGAAGUAGUUUCUAAGAUUAUCCAUCAUCUAUUAUUUUCAACAUCCCGUUAAAAAGCUCAUGAACCACUUAACGAAGUUUUUUAAUGGAAGAAUCAAAAUAAUGGACGGUGGACAAUUAAUACUCGAUAAAAAGCCUAAGGAAUAUUAAUACUCCAUAAAGAUGGAUGAUUGGGUAAUUGCUAGGAAACUUGUACUGGUCAAACGACUGCUUCCAGAUCCGGUUAUAUGCGGCAACGUGUUGUUUCAUCACCCACGCAACUAAACUUUGUCUAACUCGACAUUUUAUUCAAUAUUUUUCUUUCGUACAAACGAUAUUCUACACUAACUAAUAUUAUAUUGAAGAGUGAAAAUUUGAACCCGGAAAGUCAAACAGAAAAAUCCAAACCACGAGGGCACAUAGAACACAAAAAUAAAAAAACUUUUUAUUUAAUUGCAAUGAUAUUUCACAGGGUGGAUGACUUGAUAUUGAACGCUAUCCACAGGAGUUAGAACCUAAUGGCCUCCCACCUACUAGUAGAGAAGUAUACAACUGGACCAUCACCAUUCAGUUUUUCCUGGUAGCUUACAAAGGAAGAUAAAAACAAAAAAUAAGGAAGCUGCAAAGUAAAGAGAUGAGCAAAUUGUUUGAGAGAAAACUUUGACCAUUUCUGUGGUAGCAAUAAAAUUGGACCAUUUCUCUUGUACCACCAUAUAACCUAUAAAAAGGAGGCAGGAAUUCACAUAAAACAGCAUCAAUAUUUUUGAAGAUUUAAAAAAAAAACCCUUUGUUUUCCCAGCAAACACUAACCAUACAUCAUCUUCUCAGUUUCAAAACAAAAGUUCAAAGCCAAAAGAAAUGGCAGAAAGUGUAGUUACCUUCUUGCUCGACAGGCUCACCUCCUUGAUUGAACAGGAGGUGAGGCUAUUCUCAGGGGUCCGAGCCCAGAUCGAGGAUAUAAUCGAUGAGUUGGAGCGCAUUAAGGCCUUCUUAAGAGUUGCUGAUGCAAAGGAAGAUG